AACGAACGCUGGCGGCAUGCCUAACACAUGCAAGUCGAACGAGACCUUCGGGUCCAGUGGCGCACGGGUGCGUAACGCGUGGGAACCUGCCCUUAGGUUCGGAAUAACUCCCCGAAAGGGGUGCUAAUACCGGAUAAUGUCUUCGGACCAAAGAUUUUUCGCCUUUGGAUGGGCCCGCGUUGGAUUAGCUAGUUGGUAGGGUAAAAGCCUACCAAGGCGACGAUCCAUAGCUGGUCUGAGAGGAUGAUCAGCAACACUGGGACUGAGACACGGCCCAGACACCUACGGGAGGCAGCAGUAGGGAAUAUUAGACAAUGGGCGAAAGCCUGAUCCAGCAAUGCCGCGUGAGUGAUGAAGGCCUUAGGGUUGUAAAUCUCUUUUACCCGGGAUGAUAAUGACAGUACCGUGAGAAUAAGCUCCGGCUAACUCCGUG
rnacentral:rRNA from 1 species